ACCGGGGGGGGUGCUUACCAUGCAAGUCGAACGAUGAAGCCCAGCUUGCUGGGUGGAUUAGUGGCGAACGGGUGAGUAACACGUGAGUAACCUGCCCCCGACUCUGGGAUAAGCCCGGGAAACUGGGUCUAAUACCGGAUAUUACCUUUGACCGCAUGGUUGUUGGUGGAAAGAUUUAUCGGUGGGGGAUGGACUCGCGGCCUAUCAGCUUGUUGGUGAGGUAAUGGCUCACCAAGGCGACGACGGGUAGCCGGCCUGAGAGGGUGACCGGCCACACUGGGACUGAGACACGGCCCAGACUCCUACGGGAGGCAGCAGUGGGGAAUAUUGCACAAUGGGCGAAAGCCUGAUGCAGCGACGCCGCGUGAGGGAUGACGGCCUUCGGGUUGUAAACCUCUUUCAGUAGGGAAGAAGCGAAAGUGACGGUACCUGCAGAAGAAGCGCCGGCUAACUACGUGCCAGCAGCCGCGGUAAUACGUAGGGCGCAAGCGUUAUCCGGAUUUAUUGGGCGUAAAGAGCUCGUAGGCGGUUUGUCGCGUCUGCCGUGAAAGUCCGAGGCUCAACCUCGGAUCUGCGGUGGGUACGGGCAGACUAGAGUGAUGUAGGGGAGACUGGAAUUCCUGGUGUAGCGGUGAAAUGCGCAGAUAUCAGGAGGAACACCGAUGGCGAAGGCAGGUCUCUGGGCAUUUACUGACGCUGAGGAGCGAAAGCAUGGGGAGCGAACAGGAUUAGAUACCCUGGUAGUCCAUGCCGUAAACGUUGGGCACUAGGUGUGGGGGACAUUCCACGUUUUCCGCGCCGUAGCUAACGCAUUAAGUGCCCCGCCUGGGGAGUACGGCCGCAAGGCUAAAACUCAAAGGAAUUGACGGGGGCCCGCACAAGCGGCGGAGCAUGCGGAUUAAUUCGAUGCAACGCGAAGAACCUUACCAAGGCUUGACAUGUGCCAGACCGCCUCAGAGAUGGGGUUUCCCUUCGGGGCUGGUUCACAGGUGGUGCAUGGUUGUCGUCAGCUCGUGUCGUGAGAUGUUGGGUUAAGUCCCGCAACGAGCGCAACCCUCGUUCCAUGUUGCCAGCACGUAGUGGUGGGGACUCAUGGGAGACUGCCGGGGUCAACUCGGAGGAAGGUGGGGAUGACGUCAAAUCAUCAUGCCCCUUAUGUCUUGGGCUUCACGCAUGCUACAAUGGCCGGUACAAUGGGUUGCGAUACUGUGAGGUGGAGCUAAUCCCUAAAAGCCGGUCUCAGUUCGGAUUGGGGUCUGCAACUCGACCCCAUGAAGUCGGAGUCGCUAGUAAUCGCAGAUCAGCAACGCUGCGGUGAAUACGUUCCCGGGCCUUGUACACACCGCCCGUCAAGUCACGAAAGUUGGUAACACCCGAAGCCGAUGGCCUAACCACCUUGUGUGGGGGGAGUCGUCGAAGGUGACUGCGAGUA
rnacentral:rRNA from 1 species